AGCACUACCCCUUUGUCCAAGUGCCUUAUAACAUGUCUUUAUAACUGGCUGUGUAAGAAUGAAGAAAAGCUGUCCAUCUUCUGAGAAGAAGCCCUGCCUUGAACUUCAGGCUGCCUGGCUUGGAUCCUGAUGCUGCUUUGCUGACACAAUCCAUUCUCCCAGGGAACACCCAGAGUUCCACUCCAGCCCUGGCAACGCUGCAGCAGAGCUGGUGAUUUCCUGCUUGGUCGUCUUUUAAAACCCAGCCAUCUGAAUCCGAGAGUUGCUUCUUCAGCAAGGCCUCCCCUGACUCCUUCAGAUGUCUAAGCACCACCCCUACUCUUCUGCUGCAGCAUCUCCACUUGCUUUUGUCCUUCAUCUCCCUGAAAUUAUUUGCUUACUCAUCCAUCCAUGUCAGUUGCAAAAGCAUGACUUCCUCUAGUCCAAAGGCCAUUCAUGUUCAAUAUGUUAGCACUCGGAGCGUCUCCAGUGGUUGUUUCAAACAAGGCAAAUGAGUUCAGUUGAACUUUAUAUGUUCUGCCCUCCGACUGUGACUGUUAUUUACUUCCCUCCAAACAAAAUGUAAUAAUAAAAUGACUAACUGAA
rnacentral:lncRNA from 1 species